AAUCUUGCGCAAUGGGCGAAAGCCUGACGCAGCCAUGCCGCGUGAAUGAUGAAGGUCUUCGGAUUGUAAAAUUCUUUCACCGGGGACGAUAAUGACGGUACCCGGAGAAGAAGCCCCGGCUACCUUCGUGCCAGCAGCCGGGGUAAUACGAAGGGGGCUAGCGUUGAUAGGAAUUACUGGGCGUAAAGGGCGCGUAGGGGGACAUUUAAGCCAGGGGGGAAAUCCCAGGGCUAAAAUCUGGAACUGACUUUGAUACUGGGUGGCUUGAGUGUGAGAGAGGUAUGGGGAAAUCCGAGUGUAGAGGUGAAAUUCGUAGAUAUUCGGAAGAAAACCAGUGGCGAAGGCGACAUACUGGCUCAUUACUGACGCUGAGGCGCGAAAGCGUGGGGAGCAAACAG
rnacentral:rRNA from 1 species